rnacentral:rRNA from 1 species
GGCCAUCCCGGCUUACCAACCCGAUGCAAACUGCGAAUACCGGAGAAUGUUAUCACGGGAGACACACGGCGGGUGCUAACGUCCGUCGUGAAGAGGGAAACAACCCAGACCGCCAGCUAAGGUCCCAAAGUCAUGGUUAAGUGGGAAACGAUGUGGGAAGGCCCAGACAGCCAGGAUGUUGGCUUAGAAGCAGCCAUCAUUUAAAGAAAGCGUAAUAGCUCACUGGUCGAGUCGGCCUGCGCGGAAGAUGUAACGGGGCUAAACCAUGCACCGAAGCUGCGGCAGCGACACUGUGUGUUGUUGGGUAGGGGAGCGUUCUGUAAGCCUGCGAAGGUGUCCCGUGAGGGAUGCUGGAGGUAUCAGAAGUGCGAAUGCUGACAUAAGUAACGAUAAAGCGGGUGAAAAGCCCGCUCGCCGGAAGACCAAGGGUUCCUGUCCAACGUUAAUCGGGGCAGGGUGAGUCGACCCCUAAGGCGAGGCCGAAAGGCGUAGUCGAUGGGAAACAGGUUAAUAUUCCCGUACUUGGUGUUACUGCGAAGGGGGGACGGAGAAGGCUAUGUUGGCCGGGCGACGGUUGUCCCGGUUUAAGCGUGUAGGCUGGUUUUCCAGGCAAAUCCGGAAAAUCAAGGCUGAGGCGUGACGACGAGGCACUACGGUGCUGAAGCAACAAAUGCCCUGCUUCCAGGAAAAGCCUCUAAGCAUCAGGUAACAUCAAAUCGUACCCCAAACCGACACAGGUGGUCAGGUAGAGAAUACCAAGGCGCUUGAGAGAACUCGGGUGAAGGAACUAGGCAAAAUGGUGCCGUAACUUCGGGAGAAGGCACGCUGACACGUAGGUGAAGUGAUUUACUCAUGGAGCUGAAGUCAGUCGAAGAUACCAGCUGGCUGCAACUGUUUAUUAAAAACACAGCACUGUGCAAACACGAAAGUGGACGUAUACGGUGUGACGCCUGCCCGGUGCCGGAAGGUUAAUUGAUGGGGUCAGCGCAAGCGAAGCUCCUGAUCGAAGCCCCGGUAAACGGCGGCCGUAACUAUAACGGUCCUAAGGUAGCGAAAUUCCUUGUCGGGUAAGUUCCGACCUGCACGAAUGGCGUAAUGAUGGCCAGGCUGUCUCCACCCGAGACUCAGUGAAAUUGAACUCGCUGUGAAGAUGCAGUGUACCCGCGGCAAGACGGAAAGACCCCGUGAACCUUUACUAUAGCUUGACACUGAACAUUGAGCCUUGAUGUGUAGGAUAGGUGGGAGGCUUUGAAGUGUGGACGCCAGUCUGCAUGGAGCCGACCUUGAAAUACCACCCU